CAUUCCGCGUGCAGGAUGAAGGCCUUCGGGUUGUAAACUGCUUUUGUACGGAACGGAAAGGUCUCUCUUAAUACGGGGGGCUCAUGACGGUACCGUAAGAAUAAGCACCGGCUAACUACGUGCCAGCAGCCGCGGUAAUACGUAGGGUGCAAGCGUUAAUCGGAAUUACUGGGCGUAAAGCGUGCGCAGGCGGUUAUGUAAGACAGAGGUGAAAUCCCCGGGCUCAACCUGGGAACUGCCUUUGUGACUGCAUAGCUAGAGUACGGUAGAGGGGGAUGGAAUUCCGUGUGUAGCAGUGAAAUGCGUAGAUAUGCGGAGGUACACCGAUGGCGAAGGCAAUCCCCUGGACCUGUACUGACGAUCAUGCACGGAAGCGUGGGGAGCAAACAGGAUUAGAUACCCUGGUAGUCCACGCCCUAAACGAUGUCAACUGGUUGUUGGGUCUUCACUGACUCAGUAACGAAGCUAACGCGUGAAGUUGACCGC
rnacentral:rRNA from 1 species